UUUCUCUGGAAAAUUAAAUAAGCAAAAGAGAAGAUUGGCGAUAGGAAGCAAUGAUUGCAGAAAAGGGGGUUGAAAGAAGGCAAGAGUUGGAAAAUAUCAAGAAGAGCUGCAAAAGAAGAGCUGCAAAAUACUGUCUUCUAAAUAUGACAAGGCCAUUACAUGUCUGAAUUCACAACAGCUUGGUUACCUGCAGAGGACCUUCACAUGAUCAAGCAAAUAAAAGCAUUCCAGCAUGGACACAGGAAGGACAACUGAGGUCUAACUCCAGCUAAAGAGAUAAUGGCACUUCUGGUGGCUGAGAGUCAGACAUUUUCCUUUGGUAUUGUGGCUUUAGUAGGUUGCCCAUACUGUACUGGAUGGCUCCAUGCUAUGCGUGCACAUGGGAAAUACUAUUUGGACACAACUGGAUUGUUUUUAAAGCAAAAGACGUGAAAUUGCAAG
rnacentral:lncRNA from 1 species